rnacentral:rRNA from 1 species
GACGAACGCUGGCGGCGUGCUUAACACAUGCAAGUCGAACGGAAAGGCCCUACUUUUGUGGGGUGCUCGAGUGGCGAACGGGUGAGUAACACGUGAGUAACCUGCCCUUGACUUUGGGAUAACUUCAGGAAACUGGGGUUAAUACCGGAUAGGAGCUCCUGCUGCAUGGAGGGGGUUGGAAAGUUUCGGCGGUUGGGGUUGGAUGCGCGGCUUAUCAGCUUGUUGGUGGGGUAGUGGCUUACCCAGGCUUUGACGGGUAGCCGGCCUGAGAGGGUGAACGGCCACAUUGGGACUGAGAGACGGACCAGACUGCUACGGGAGGCAGCAGUGGGGAAUAUUGCACAAUGGGCGGAAGCCGGAGGCAGCAACGCCGCGGGCGGGAUGACGGCCUUCGGGGUGUAAACCGCUGUCGCCUGUGACGAAGCGGGAGUGACGGUAAUGGGUAAAGAAGCACCGGCUAACUACGUG